GCCCGGGUGGUGGAACGGUAGACACAGGGGACUUAAAAUCCUCUUCCCAAGCGGAGUGCGGGUUCGAGUCCCGCCCUGGGCA
rnacentral:tRNA from 1 species